rnacentral:rRNA from 1 species
AACACAUGCAAGUCGAACGAAGGCUUCGGCCUUAGUGGCGCACGGGUGCGUAACGCGUGGGAAUCUGCCCUUAGGUGCGGAAUAACAGUUAGAAAUGACUGCUAAUACCGCAUAAUGACUCCGGUCCAAAGAUUUAUCGCCUAAGGAUGAGCCCGCGUAGGAUUAGCUUGUUGGUGAGGUAAAAGCUCACCAAGGCGACGAUCCUUAGCUGGUCUGAGAGGAUGAUCAGCCACACUGGGACUGAGACACGGCCCAGACUCCUACGGGAGGCAGCAGUGGGGAAUAUUGGACAAUGGGCGAAAGCCUGAUCCAGCAAUUCCGCGUGAGUGAAGAAGGCCUUCGGGUUGUAAAGCUCUUUUGUCCGGAGCGAAACGGUUAGGGUGAAUAUCCCUGA